CUACCACUGGGUGAUGGUGGCCGUGACCGGCGGCGUGGGCGUGGCCGCCACCCUGUGUCUGUGCAGUCUGCUCAUCUGGCCCAUCCGCCUGCGAAGCUGGGACCCUGGAGCCCAACCCUGACACCCGCCCCCACGGUCACUGUCCCGUGCACAUGAACCCUACAGGCCAUGCCGAGCUCUCUGUGCCCCUCCAACACCCAUCCCUGCCCCCCACCCUCACCCGGCUGUGAGGGUGGGGGGUGAGGGCAGGGCGGUCAGCAGCCCCGACGCUGGGCCCAGGGCUGCGCCCCGCUCACCCCGCACGCCAGGCCCGCUCGGGGUUUGCUAGGUGCUGCUGGGUCUCUGGGCCUGAUGGCCACUGUGCCCAGGCCACCGCUGACCAUGAAUAAAAAGCCACCCAGGGGUGAAGA